UUAAGGUACGUUGACCAUGAGCCGAUCUUUGAUGAGCCUGUCUUCGAGUGAUACACUGUCCUGGAGAGAUAAUGUUGCCGUAUUAUUCUGUAACUCGAAGAAUGUAUCAUUAGUGUACAUUGCUUUUUUAGUUGCUAUGUUUGAUGUGUUAUUGUGUGGAAGGAUAUGUGUGUAAUGUAUGUGAUACCUGCGACACAUUAGCAGCACAAGUGUUUUGAGAUGUAUGUUAAUUUGUUAGAAUUGUGUGCAGUUGAAUGUUUAUGUAUGCUCGAUUAUUUAUAGUAUAUGAUUGAAUGCUUUAUUUGCGGUUGAAUAUCUGUGUAUAUUUGACUAUUUGUAUUGUAUUCUUGAAUGCUUGUGUGCGGUUCAAUAUCUGUGUGUGUUUGAUUAUUUGUACUGAAUGCUUGAACGCUUGUGUGUGGUUGAAAAUCUAUAUAUGUUGACUGUUUAUAUCAUGUGCUUCAAUGUUUGUAUGUGAUUGAAUAUCUGUGGGUGCUUGAUUAUUAUUUCUAUUAUAUCUAAUAUUUUUUGGUGGUUGAAAUUCUGUGUAUAAUUCAUCAUUUGUGUUUGGUUCAUUUAUUUGUUUUGAAAUGUUUGCGCGAGUGUAUGAUGUUUGGUUUUGUAGUAUGAUCGAAGAAAAAAAUAAUUAAUUUCGUUUACCAUAUUUGUCCAAUCUUCCUCAAAUCGUCGAUGUCCUUGUCGAUGUCAAUCUCGCUAGUUGUUGAUGCGGUAUUUUUUUGUUUCGGAGUUUCGUCCAAAGAAGUCGUCUGAUAAUUGUAACGGUUUUAAAUAGUGUGCUUCGGCCUAUCCAUCUAGUCAAGUGCAAUUCAGUAUAGAACAAAUUAUCAAGAGAUAUUAGAAGAUAUUUAAAGCAGAGAAAUUCGAACAUCAAAUUGAGUAAAGAAACAUAAAAUAUAGAUAUAUACAACGAGUAUAGAUAAUAUAACGAGAUAGAUAUAAUAUGCAUUAUCUAUAAAAAGCAAUACAACGAGAAAUAUAAGAAAUAUAAGAAGAAAGCAAAAUAUAAAUAUAACAGAAAAUAUUACAGUAUUUUUUUUCAUCACUUUUGGAAAAAAUGUAAGAGCGACAAAAUUAAAAAGCAAAAGAGAGAAAAAUAUGAAAGAUGCAAGAAAAAGAGAACAUAUGUUCUGGCAAUCCCUGUAAAAAUAAAAAUAAACAGUUUACAGCAUAGAUAUUACAUCUUCUCGCUGUGUAUAAUAAAAGCGACAAUAUAUUGCAAUGUUUACAAAUUAUUUUUUCCACUGUCGCUAUCAUCUGUCGAUGUGCUAUUGGGAAAAGGCAUCCUGUAACAUUUUUCAUGGACUUGAUCUGGAUGAACAUGAAAAAUUUAGCUGUUUAACAUAGCGCACUUAAAUAUUUUAAAAACAGAAGAUAUCAUGCCAAUGUCAUAAAAUAAUAUGAUAAAAAGUAAAAAUCAUGAAUCUCCAAAAAAUUUUUAACACCCAAACGAAAGGAGUUAUUAUCCACACAAUAUUAAAGAUGAUACAGAUCGAUCCAUCACAUACACGAAUAGACAAAUCAUCACAUUUUGAUUAUUGCUUGUUCCAACUUCUAUCUCUGCCAUUCUAUUAAAAAACUGUUGAAGAGGUACACAAGAGUGAUUUCCUACAAUAUUUCCUGAAAAUUGACAUAUUAUUUUCAUAAGAAAAUGCGGAAAAUGAAUCUAAACAACCAAAACGUCUCACAUCGCUGAUAAGAUGAAGAAAAUUGUGGACAUUUCGAUUGCAGAUGAUUCUUAUUGCUGCGUGUAAGAAUAAAAAAUUAUAUAAUCAUUCCUCUAAUACACCAUACGUUACAACUGAGCCUGUAUAAAGAAGAAAUUGG